CGAGACAUAGCGUAGCCCGGUAGCGCAUCUAAUUUGGGAUUAGAAGGUCAUGUGUUCAAAUCACAUUGUUUCGA
rnacentral:tRNA from 1 species